ensembl:snoRNA U3 Small nucleolar RNA U3
AAGACAAUACUUUCAGGGAUCAUUUCUGUAGUUUCUGACUGGAGAAAGCUGUUUCUAAAGUGUUUGGUCUCACUAACCACGAUGAUGAGUUGUGAUGUUCCCUUCAGAGAGUGAAGUGAGCAGUGAGUAAUGAUCCUGUUCAUAUGUUCACUGUUAUUGAUGGCUGUUCUCUGCUGUUUCAAGGAACACAGAGGAGUGGAACAUGAUUUGAGUGGU